rnacentral:SRP_RNA from 2 species
UAGUGCUCCUGCUGGCCCGCCCGUUCCAAGUUGGUAGUGGACCGCUGGGGCCCUGUGCGAAAGCUGGGCCUCACGGGCCGUAAUGUUGGCAGGCACAGCGUUAGGCUGGCUUCACAGAGCAGCGAGAACUGCCCGCUUCCAACGGUGGAAGGAUAACGGGCCGCUGCACA